rnacentral:rRNA from 1 species
CAUCCGCCAGAGAACUACAAGUGAAAAACUUAAAACUCAAAGGACUUGACGGUGUCCCAUACCGACCUAGAGGAGCCUGUCCUAUAAUCGAUACCCCCCGUUCCACCCAACCUCAACUAGCAAAAACAGCCUAUAUACCGCCGUCGACCAGCCUACCCCAUGAGGGUUUAACAGUAGACACAAUAGCCCCCCCGCUAAUACGUCAGGUCAAGGUGUAGCAAAUGUUGAGGAAGAGAUUGGCUACAUUUUUUAUGAUAAAAAAUACGAAAAGCACUAUGAAAUCGUGCAUGAAGGUGAAUUUAGUAGUAAAAUAAACAAGAGAGUUUAUUUUAACAACGCUCUGGGACGCGUACACACCGCCC